rnacentral:rRNA from 1 species
UGGGGAAUAUUGGACAAUGGGGGCAAUCCUGAUCCAGCCAUGCCGCGUGUGUGAAGAAGGCCUUAUGGUUGUAAAGCACUUUAAGCGGGGAGGAGGGCACUUAGGUUAAUACCCUGAAGUGUUGGACGUUACCCGCAGAAUAAGCACCGGCUAACUCUGUGCCAGCAGCCGCGGUAAUACAGAGGGUGCGAGCGUUAAUCGGAAUUACUGGGCGUAAAGCGCGCGUAGGCGGUUAUUUAAGUCGGAUGUGAAAUCCCCGGGCUCAACCUGGGAAUUGCAUUCGAUACUGGGUAGCUAGAGUAUGGGAGAGGAAGGUAGAAUUCCAGGUGUAGCGGUGAAAUGCGUAGAGAUCUGGAGGAAUACCGAUGGCGAAGGCAGCCUUCUGGCCUAAUACUGACGC